AUUACUGACACGCCUAGACAAUGAAUAUUAAUUUUAAUAAAAAUGGUGGCUAUGCUGAAGAAAAAUCCAUUGAAUCUUCUUUCCAUUAAUAAGUUAUUCAAAGACUUCAAGCUAGCCAAUGACAGCAGCCACGAACACUGUACAGCAGCUACACCUGUAAUUGCUGUAAAAGUUGUUAAUUGCAUGAUUUCCAUCAAGAGUAGAUUAUUAGUUAAUUUUAUUAUAUAUUACAGUUUUGAUUUGGUAAAGAUCAGUUGGGUACAAUAUACAAUGACGGGUUCUGUGAUUUCAAAAAGUAUUCAUUACACAAUCACUUAACGCUCAAGAGUCUGUUGGUAAGGUUUUGUGGUUUCUAUGAGACCCAUCGUGGUACGUAGAUCUACUCAGUUAACAAAAGUGACAGGAGGUUUCUGUUCCGUGAGCUUGAGUCUAUUUUCUACCUUUUACUGAUCACCACUCAUUAUUGUAAUAAUUAUUAUUAGAUGGUCACAGUAAGAGUGCAAAUGGUUCAUUAUUGCCUGGCCAAGGAUUGGAUUGUUUGCUAGUAUUUAAAUGGACACAUUUCAAUAGACUAAGUGUUUAAAAGCCAUUACUACAAACUUAGGGAAUGUACGACUUACCUGAUGAUACAAUAGACUGGCUGACUCAAUUUCAAGAAGUAAAACAUAAGCACAUAACUGAAUCCCUUUUGAGCUCAAUUCAAAUUUCAUAUGAUAUACAGCACAUUUAGAUGUGGGAAAGAUCAACUGGUUAAAAGAGUUUGAGUUAAAUUACUUUUUAUUUUAAUAUUUUUACGACCUUUGCCUCAAGAUCAUUCCUAUAAUUAUUUUUACCCCCAUUAUGUAUUUACAGUGUAUUCACACUUGCAUUUCUUCUAUACACAUUGUAUGGGAGAAAUUACAAUUAAAACCAUUAAUAUUACUCCAAUAUCUGUGAUUAAAAUGUUUUAACAAUCAACCCUACCACUAAUCUAAAAGGAUGAGAAGGUAGAGAGGUCUUCUAUAAUUUUUAAUAAAAAUCAAACUGUGCAUGCAAGGUGGUAUAAACAAUCUGUUUACACGAGCUAAUACGCUUGUUAAAAAUAGCCAUAGCUCAAAAAAUUUUAGUAGGAGUCAGCUCAAACUUUAUACAUAGCAUAAAGACAUCAAUAUUUAUCAGAAAAUGUAAUAAAAAUUUGGAGUAAUUUCAGAGUCAAUUUUUAAACCAUAGUAUUUUUCAGACUUUCGUCAAUUUUUAAAAAUGGUCAUAACUUGAAAAUUGAAAGUCAGAAUGAGCUCAAACUUUCUGCAGAGCAUAUGGGUAUCAAUGUGUAUCGGAAAUUGUAAUAAAAAUUUAAGGUGAUUGUGAAGUCAUUGUUUAAACCAUUGGCUUUGCUUUUUUUGGAAAAAAGACUUCUCCAGUAUAUUCCAAAUGCAUUGUAAGAUAGAAUAUAGCUAUGAAUGCACGUGGUGAAAACAAUCUUAGGAUAUUUCUAAAACUAUAAUUGUGCUUGUUUUAAUUUUUGAGGUCAGUUGUGGUAAAUUGGAUAGUUUGCUUCUCCAACUGACUAAAGUCAGUUAUUUUGGUUUGGAUUUCCUCAAUACAUUUCUCACUACAUUCCCUCUAUUCACAACUUCACAGAAUGUAUUGGACUAUCUUGUUAAAG